GUUUCCUACGGGACGCAGCAGUGGGGAAUAUUGCACAAUGGGGGAAACCCUGAUGCAGCAACGCCGCGUGAGUGAAGAAGUAUUUCGGUAUGUAAAGCUCUAUCAGCAGGGAAGAAGAUGAAGGUACCUGAUUAAGAAGCCCCGGCUAACUACGUGCCAGCAGCCGCGGUAAUACGUAGGGGGCAAGCGUUAUCCGGAUUUACUGGGUGUAAAGGGAGCGCAGACGGCAGU
rnacentral:rRNA from 1 species